rnacentral:rRNA from 1 species
AGAGUUUGAUCCUGGCUCAGAUUGAACGCUGGCGGCAUGCCUUACACAUGCAAGUCGAACGGCAGCACGGGAGCAAUCCUGGUGGCGAGUGGCGAACGGGUGAGUAAUAUAUCGGAACGUGCCCAGUAGUGGGGGAUAGCCCGGCGAAAGCCGGAUUAAUACCGCAUGCGACCUGUGGGUGAAAGCGGGGGAUCGCAAGACCUCGCGCUAUUGGAGCGGCCGAUAUCAGAUUAGCCUGUUGGUGGGGUAAAAGCCCACCAAGGCGACGAUCUGUAGCUGGUCUGAGAGGACGACCAGCCACACUGGGACUGAGACACGGCCCAGACUCCUACGGGAGGCAGCAGUGGGGAAUUUUGGACAAUGGGCGCAAGCCUG